UACGUAGGGUGCAGGCGUUAAUCGGAAUUACUGGGCGUAAAGCGUGCGCAGGCGGUCUAUUAAGACAGGUGUGAAAUCCCCGGGCUUAACCUGGGAACUGCGCUUGUAACUGAUAGGCUGGAGUGUGGCAGAGGGGGGUGGAAUUCCACGUGUAGCAGUGAAAUGCGUAGAGAUGUGGAGGAACACCGAUGGCGAAGGCAGCCCCCUGGGCUGAGAUUGACGCUCAGGCACGAAAGCGUGGGGAGCAAACAGG
rnacentral:rRNA from 1 species